rnacentral:rRNA from 1 species
GAGUUUGAUCCUGGCUCAGGACGAACGCUGGCGGCGCGCCUAACACAUGCAAGUCGAACGAGAGAUGAGGAGCUUGCUCUUCAAAUCGAGUGGCGAACGGGUGAGUAACGCGUGAGGAACCUGCCUCAAAGAGGGGGACAACAGUUGGAAACGACUGCUAAUACCGCAUAAGCCCACGGCUCGGCAUCGGGCAGAGGGAAAAGGAGUGAUCCGCUUUGAGAUGGCCUCGCGUCCGAUUAGCUAGUUGGUGAGGUAACGGCCCACCAAGGCAACGAUCGGUAGCCGGACUGAGAGGUUGAACGGCCACAUUGGGACUGAGACACGGCCCAGACACCUACGGGUGGCAGCAGUCGAGAAUCAUUCACAAUGGGGGAAACCCUGAUGGUGCGACGCCGCGUGGGGGAAUGAAGGUCUUCGGAUUGUAAACCCCUGUCAUGUGGGAGCAAAUUAAAAAGAUAGUACCACAAGAGGAAGAGACGGCUAACUCUGUGCCAGCCGCCGCGGUAAUUC